UGUGCUAGCCUAGUUCCCUGAGC
rnacentral:miRNA from 10 species